rnacentral:tRNA from 1 species
GUGCGGUACGCAAACAGGCAAAGCGACGAAGCUCAAACCUUCGUGAUCGAUUGCGGGUUCGAUUCCCGCACGGGGCAC